GACGAACGCUGGCGGCGUGCUUAACACAUGCAAGUCGAACGGAAAGGCCCUGCUUUUGUGGGGUGCUCGAGUGGCGAACGGGUGAGUAACACGUGAGUAACCUGCCCUUGACUUUGGGAUAACUUCAGGAAACUGGGGCUAAUACCGGAUAGGAGCUCCUGCUGCAUGGUGGGGGUUGGAAAGUUUCGGCGGUUGGGGAUGGACUCGCGGCUUAUCAGCUUGUUGGUGGGGUAGUGGCUUACCAGGGCUUUGACGGGUAGGCGGCCUGAGAGGGUGACCGGCAACAUUGGGACUGAGAUACGGCGCAGACUCCUACGGGAGGCAGCAGUGGGGAAUAUUGCACAGUGGGCGGAAGCCGUAUGCAGCAACGCCGUGUGCGGGAUGACGGCCUUCGGGUUGUAAACCGCUUUCGCCUGUGACGAAGCGUGAGUGACGGUAAUGGGUAAAGAAGCACCGGCUAACUACGUG
rnacentral:rRNA from 1 species